CGCAGCCUUGUCAAAUUCAGUGCUCUCUCUUCCGUGGGCGCCACUGGCCAAAAUGGCUGCUACAGUGAAGGUGUAGUUCAUGGGCCUCACUGUGCUUUAAUGUGGUCUCUGAGGAUAAAUAUGUACUACACACAAAC
ensembl:snoRNA small nucleolar RNA SNORA5